rnacentral:rRNA from 1 species
UACGUAGGGGGCAAGCGUUGUCCGGAAUCAUUGGGCGUAAAGAGCGUGUAGGCGGCCCGGUAAGUCCGCUGUGAAAGUCCAGGGCUCAACCCUGGGAUGCCGGUGGAUACUGUCGGGCUCGAGUCCGGAAGAGGAGUGUGGAAUUCCCGGUGUAGCGGUGAAAUGCGCAGAUAUCAGGAGGAACACCAAUGGCGAAGGCAGCACUCUGGGACGUGACUGACGCUGAGACGCGAAAGCGUGGGGAGCAAACAGG